CAGCAAAACCACCAGUGUUGAUUUUACAGAGUUCGCUACUCUAGAGUGGUCAGGUGUUAGUUGUAGUGUUCGUUUAUAAUUUAUCAUCACUCACAGUGUCAGAAACUUCCACAAGGGGGUGUUGCUUUCCAGUGUUCCAAUAAUAACGUUUGCGGGGAGUUAAGAUUCACGCCACGCCCCUUCUUUCUGAAGCGGGAAAGUCAGUUACUCAGCAUCGACCGACCUGGACUCACGUUACUGAGGUUUGGAACAUGCUGCUGAAGUUGGUUAUCAGGGCUCCAGGAAAUGUAUCAAACUGCAGGAUUGAUUUAUUUUUGCUCAUUAGUGAAGGUGGUAAGCUAAACUGACUGUGGACUAAUGUAUGCAUUGUUGAUGACACUGAAAUCGAGGAAGACAUUCUACAAGAUGUGCUGCUUACAGUUAGAGGACAAAAUGAAGAUGCAACAAGCAGCUUCUGCCACUGUCAUUUACCAUCUGAACUUGACCAAAGUCGUUCCAAGAAAUCUAAGACAACAGAUGACUCCAUGACCGAGAUGGUCAUUUGUGCCAUUAAGCAGAAUAGUGGAAGUCCUAGUCAACAUUUUUGUUGCACAUAUUGGAAGACUCCUACAAGGAACCAGUGAGAGCAUAGACUGUGAUAGUGACAUGGCAACACUGCCUUUACUGCUCCAUCUCCUUCCACCAUCACCUCAACGGAAUCAGUGCAUCAGAUUUGCAGUGAGCAGGCUUGUGGUGUAUCAUAAGUCUUGUACCAGCCUUGAAGAACAUCUUCAGCAAAGAGUAGGAUGACAACCGUACCUUACUGCGGUUAGCAGGAUCUGCGGCCAGAUUUGAGAACUUUGACGUGGCUUUUGAUAAGAAUCUCACCCCAUCAGUCGGAAGGCUCCCUUUUAUUAGCAUUUGACUUUGUUUUUAAUGUAAUGUAUGAUGAUGGACUCCUUUACUUUAACUAAUUUAAUCAAACAACAGUUUACAUGUUGGGAAAACUAGAGAUUGAGAGCUGAGAGCAAACUUUUUUUAACUAGCUGUAACUAGUAUCUCAUUUACGGUUUCAGCAUGCAUUUUAUCCUUGCCCAAAUUUCUAAUUAAUAUGUGCAAAAGAAAAUUGUGAUUACUUUUGUGAUGUAUUGUUUUACAGAAUGUUUAGUGAAAGAUUUGCUGUGAUUUGCCCUAGAUGUGUGUCAGACAUGGAUUUUAAAACACUUUUCCAGUUUUGUUUAAACUCCUUGGCAAAAUUGAAAGGACUGUAUACAUAACCACUCUCUGAAAAUUUUGAAAAAGUUCACAAGUGAAACUUUAUUUUUUUAUAAAUAUUUAAUAAUGUCAAAUAAAUUUGUUAAAUAAAUUUGUGGUCAAUAA